rnacentral:rRNA from 1 species
AAUCCAUAGGUUAAUGAGGCGAACCGGGGGAACUGAAACAUCUAAGUACCCCGAGGAAAAGAAAUCAACCGAGAUUCCCCCAGUAGCGGCGAGCGAACGGGGAGGAGCCCAGAGCCUGAAUCAGCAUGUGUGUUAGUGGAAGCGUCUGGAAAGGCGCGCGAUACAGGGUGACAGCCCCGUACACAAAAGCGCAUGUGCUGUGAGCUCGAUGAGUAGGGCGGGACACGUGGUAUCCUGUCUGAAUAUGGGGGGACCAUCCUCCAAGGCUAAAUACUCCUGACUGACCGAUAGUGAACCAGUACCGUGAGGGAAAGGCGAAAAGAACCCCGGCGAGGGGAGUGAAAAAGAACCUGAAACCGUGUACGUACAAGCAGUGGGAGCACAGGUUUACCUGUGUGACUGCGUACCUUUUGUAUAAUGGGUCAGCGACUUAUAUUCUGUAGCAAGGUUAACCGUAUAGGGGAGCCGGAGGGAAACCGAGUCUUAAUUGGGCGUUAAGUUGCAGGGUAUAGACCCGAAACCCGGUGAUCUAGCCAUGGGCAGGUUGAAGGUUGGGUAACACUAACUGGAGGACCGAACCGACUAAUGUUGAAAAAUUAGCGGAUGACCUGUGGCUGGGGGUGAAAGGCCAAUCAAACCGGGAGAUAGCUGGUUCUCCCCGAAAGCUAUUUAGGUAGCGCCUCGUGAAUUCAUCUCCGGGGGUAGAGCACUGUUUCGGCUAGGGGGCCAUCCCGGCUUACCAACCCGAUGCAAACUGCGAAUACCGGAGAAUGUUAUCACGGGAGACACACGGCGGGUGCUAACGUCCGUCGUGAAGAGGGAAACAACCCAGACCGCCAGCUAAGGUCCCAAAGUCAUGGUUAAGUGGGAAACGAUGUGGGAAGGCCCAGACAGCCAGGAUGUUGGCUUAGAAGCAGCCAUCAUUUAAAGAAAGCGUAAUAGCUCACUGGUCGAGUCGGCCUGCGCGGAAGAUGUAACGGGGCUAAACCAUGCACCGAAGCUGCGGCAGCGAACGUAUCACCCAAGACAACUUUACGGAGUUGACGAUUGACGGAGCGAAGCGACGUCAAAGCGUUCAUUAAAGUCGAGUUGGCUUAGGGAUACGUUCGUUGGGUAGGGGAGCGUUCUGUAAGCCUGUGAAGGUGUGUCGUGAGGCAUGCUGGAGGUAUCAGAAGUGCGAAUGCUGACAUAAGUAACGAUAAAGCGGGUGAAAAGCCCGCUCGCCGGAAGACCAAGGGUUCCUGUCCAACGUUAAUCGGGGCAGGGUGAGUCGACCCCUAAGGCGAGGCCGAAAGGCGUAGUCGAUGGGAAACGGGUUAAUAUUCCCGUACUUGGUGUUACUGCGAAGGGGGGACGGAGAAGGCUAUGUUGGCCGGGCGACGGUUGUCCCGGUUUAAGCGUGUAGGUGUGUGUUCCAGGUAAAUCCGGUUCACUUUAACACUGAGGCGUGACGACGAGGCACUACGGUGCUGAAGCAACAAAUGCCCUGCUUCCAGGAAAAGCCUCUAAGCAUCAGGUAACAUCAAAUCGUACCCCAAACCGACACAGGUGGU